UAGACUUUACCUUUAUGGAUUAUUUUCGUGGUAGCUAACUAGGAAAUGUGAUUUGAAAGUGUUACGUCUUCCUAAUCACGAUAAUAACCCACGAUGUGCGUACACUUCUAAGCAUGAAUCAGAUUAGAGCUAGUGCUUCGAGCAUGAGCUGUAAGCACUGAUGAAUGUUCUCUGUUUCUUGUGAAGCAUGAGAGGAAAAGGACAUAAACACAGUAAU